AGGGCUUCUUCUUAAUCACCAAUCACAUAAGACACUAUAAAGACAUGGCUACGAGGAAGGCUGCAUACAGUUUGUUUCCAUUGGUGUUUGUCAUUCUUAUCUCAAUUGGUCUCUCUCGCUCUUUCUCUCUCAUAUAUAAUACACACUCACUUCGUAUUUAUUUAUUUAUUUAUACACACACAUAACACACCUUAAUAUUGAAAUUCCAUUUGGAAAUUACAUCUUUUUAUGACAAAAUUGCAAAAUUAAUGUAAAGAGUAUAGUGACCACAUUUUCUUCAAAGCCAUUUUAUUAUUUCAUGAUCUUCCACAUUUCUUUAUGUGUGUACCUUUAUCCCAUUGAGAGGAUUUUGUAUAUAUUCUUUGUAGAGAAAGACGAACAUAAAUUAAAAGAGAGGAAGGGGGUUGAAUCUAAAAGUAAUAUUAUCCCUUCUUGGGAAAUGAUGCUUGAGUCACGUAGAUUGACUAACCUAACUCACCCUUAAGUAAACUUCUACAAUUAGAUAUUCUGCCAACAUGUGUUGUAAGGUUUUUCUUAUGUCUUAAUUCACAUAAACAAAAGUAUGAGUAGAACUAUUCUUUCCCUAUUCUUAAUCAUAGUCAUCUUUAACUCAUAAUUACAUUAGUGACAUAUAUAUAGACCACCAUAUUCAAAGAAAUAUUUUCACACUCACGUAUUAAUCAUUUACAUUAUAGUUACUCAAAUUUUACUUUGUUGACAGGUUUGCAAAGUGUGGAUGCUGCUUGGGGCCAUCCAUGUAAAGUCAGCCAGGACUGUGUGACUUACUGUAAAGUCCCCAUUAGUAGAGGCAGUCCACUCUGCCUAGGAGGACAUUGCACGUGUGAAGCUGUGGAAAAACAUGAAACUAUAGUAGCUCGAAAAUUUUUACAUGACUAGGAAUAAGGGAUCUAUGGUUUUAUGUAAGAACAAUUAAAUUUAUAUUGGAUUAAUUUCUC
rnacentral:lncRNA from 1 species